AUAUUGAAAUGCCGGCUCUCGUCAGAUCACCGAAAUUAAGCAACGUUGGAGUUGGUCAGUACCGAGAUGGGUGAUCGCUUGAGAAUAUUAUAU